rnacentral:rRNA from 1 species
CAGGACGAACGCUGGCGGCGUGCCUAACACAUGCAAGUCGAGCGGGGACAUGCGACGGAUAGGAAGAUUCGGUGGACUGAAGAUGCAUUGUUCUAGCGGCGGACGGGUGAGUAACGCGUGAGCAACCUGUCCCUUACAGGGGGAUAACACAGCGAAAGUUGUACUAAUACCGCAUAAGACCACGGGAGGACAUCCUUCAGGGGUCAAAGGAGGAAUCCGGUAAGGGGUGGGCUCGCGUCCGAUUAGAUAGUUGGUGAGGUAACGGCCCACCAAGUCGACGAUCGGUAGCCGACCUGAGAGGGUGAUCGGCCACAUUGGGACUGAGACACGGCCCAACUCCUACGGGAGGCAGCAGUGGGGAAUAUUGGGCAAUGGGGGAAACCCUGACCCAGCAACGCCGCGUGAGGGAAGAAGGUUUUCGGAUCGUAAACCUCUGUCCUUGGUGAAGAGGAAGAGACGGUAGCCAAGGAGGAAGCCCCGGCUAACUACGUGCCAGCCGCGGC